rnacentral:misc_RNA from 1 species
GUGAAUCAUCGAAUCUUUGAACGCAAAUUGCACUCCCUGGUAUUCCUGGGAGUAUGCCUGCUUGAGGGUCGUUAGAAGAAAAAUCUAAACAUCUCUCUUUUUUUGUGGGUUAUCGCGUCGGAAUUGAGCCCUCUUUCAUAUGUUAAUUCAUGUCAAAUUUGCUUAAAAUUCAUCCAUAUGGUACGAGUAAAGCGUAUUUAAGAUCAAUUUUGAUUCAG